CCUACGGGUGGCAGCAGUGGGGAAUAUUGCGCAAUGGGCGAAAGCCUGACGCAGCGACGCCGCGUGAGGGAUGAAGGUCUUCGGAUCGUAAACCUCUGUCAGCAGGGAAGAACGGUCACUGUGCUAAUCAGCAGUGAAUUGACGGUACCUGCAAAGGAAGCACCGGCUAACUCCGUGCCAGCAGCCGCGGUAAUACGGAGGGUGCGAGCGUUAAUCGGAAUUACUGGGCGUAAAGCGCGCGUAGGCGGUAUGUCAAGUCAAGGGUGAAAUCCCCGCGCUCAACGUGGGAACUGCCUUUGAAACUGGCCAACUGGAGUGGUGAAGGGGGUAGGGGGAGUUCGAGUGUAGGAGUGAAAUCC
rnacentral:rRNA from 1 species